CCUACGGGAGGCUGCAGUCGAGGAUCUUCGGCAAUGGACGAAAGUCUGACCGAGCAACGCCGCGUGUGCGAUGAAGGCCUUCGGGUUGUAAAGCACUGUCGAGGGGAAACAAGCCGUAAGGUUGAGUGACCCCUGGAGGAAGCACGGGCUAAGUUCGUGCCAGCAGCCGCGGUAAGACGAACCGUGCAAACGUUAUUCGGAAUCACUGGGCUUAAAGGGCGCGUAGGCGGGUAAUCAAGUCAAUGGUGAAAUCCUCCAGCUUAACUGGAGAAGUGCCUUUGAUACUGGUUGUCUAGAGGGAGGUAGGGGCAUGUGGAACUUCAGGUGGAGCGGUGAAAUGCGUAGAUAUCUGAAGGAACGCCAGUGGCGAAAGCGAUGUGCUGGACCUCUUCUGACGCUGAGGCGCGAAAGCUAGGGGAUCAAACGGGAUUAGAUACCCCGGUAGUCCUAGCCCUAAACUAUGGGUACUAGAUUGUGGACUUUCAUGGGUUCACAGUCGAAGCAAAAGUGUUAAGUACCCCGCCUGGGGAGUAUGGUCGCAAGGCUGAAACUCAAAUGAAUUGACGG
rnacentral:rRNA from 1 species